CCAAAACUCAACAUUAGUCUUCUCGUGUUCUUUCUAUUCCACCACAGUUACAGAAUUACUCUCAGGCCACCAGAUCAACAUGACCCAAUCAUUGGGAAUAUCUACUCAUCCUGGACAGGUAAAUUCUACAAGGUCUCACUAUGAGCUGAGGCUGGCCUUGAACUCCUGGGCUGCAGCGAUCUUCCUGCCUUGGCUUCCUAAGUAGCUGGGACAACAGGAACAUGCCACCAAGCCAGCUUGGAGCCUAUGUCCAUUUGAUCCAGUUUUACAGCAGUGUUACCUGAAACAAAUAGGGUAAACUGAGAAGGUAAACUGAGAAGCUGACACCAGAAUCUCAUCUUAGGGAGAGGGAGAAACUGGACAUCACAGAAUAUCACCUUCUCUGGUCCUUACAUCUCCAUUUUGGGCUAGGUUCUAUUCUCACCUCCAUUUUCCAGAUGAGCAACCUGAUGCUUAGAAAAAAGCAAAGAGCAAGAAAGUAUUAGUCCUUGAACUUGAACCUUAGCAGACUUACUCCAAAGCCCACACUGUGACAACUGUCCACAGACCUGAGCCUUGCUCACCGCCUGCUACCAGGUGACCGGAUGUCACUGUUUCCC
rnacentral:lncRNA from 1 species